UCUUCUUCCUCGCGCCGAGUCUGGGCCUCUUUGGCUUUGUUUCCAGACAUGGGGAAGAAGACGACGAAGCCAGGAAAAGGCAAAGAGAAAGCAUCGAAAGCUGAGGAAAAGAAAGCUCGCAGAGAGACCAGAAGCUCUCACCUGAUGACGACAUCGAUGCCAUUUUGACCAUAUGGCACUAUCGUGGAGGGUGUCAAGGUGGGAGGGUUGUUGAUAAAAGAUAUUGAGUUCUUGGUAUUGAUUCUCUGAGGGUUAUUGAUGGUGCUAAUCCUCAAGCUACUGUCAUGAUGCUUGGAAGAGCGUAAUUAGGAAGGAAACUAGUAAGGAGGUGAGGAUGACACAAUACAACUGCAAGCAGUUUCAGAACAUUUGAUCACAUGGGCUGCUCUAACUUCAUGAAGUCCUUGAGAGAGUGGAAGAAUCUCAUAUGCUAGGAAAGAGCGCUUUCAAGGCUUGGAUAAGGAGGAGAAGAAUCUAGCAGCAGAAUGAGCCCUGGCCCCAACAAAAUCCCUGAAAAUCAGCCCUUGAUGGAUGUUCACAGCAUAAUCCUCAGGAUAUGCCAUUUGUGCUUACUGGUUUAUUUUAUCUCUUGGAGUCUUUGAGCCCUUAUAUAACACCUGUGUCGGGCCAUCAUUGAAAAAGUAUCUUGAAGAAGCUAUACAUACUAGAAGAAGUAUACUUAUCAAGUAAGCAAAGCAGUCAUAGGGCUCCUCUUUCUUGGCAGGCACUGGUGACUGAUGCAGCUACAAAUGUACAAUCACUUUCAUUGACCUGCCAAAGAAGAGUUGCCCUACGAUUGCUUUGGCUUAAUGAAAUUUGCAGCCUGUCUGAUCAUGCAGUAGAGCCAUGUCAUGCGAACCAUAUACGGCAAGGUAUAAUAUUAGGCUAGGCUAGCCAAGGAUAUACGUAAGUUUUGUCAUAUUUGAAAAUAAUGGUAGAGGUAGAGCUUUAAUACUGAAGUUAUUUUUGUUGUACAAAGGUGUUCUGCUUUGUGGCUAAGCAAGCAGGCAAAGUGAGUUUACCAUGUGGCUUUGCACAAUGCAGGGAAAUAGUGUGAUUUUGUAUAGGUGGAAGCCAUAUAUACAAGCAAUUACUAAUUUCCCCGAUCCCUUCUGUCA